rnacentral:misc_RNA from 1 species
CUGGAACGCGCUUCGGCGCACCCAGAAACCCUUUGUGAACUUAUACCUACUGUUGCCUCGGCGCAGGCCGGCCUUUUGUGACAAAGGCCCCCUGGAGACAGGGAGCAGCCCGCCGGCGGCCAACUAAACUCUUGUUUCUUUAGUGAAUCUCUGAAGUAAAAACAUAAAUGAAUACA